UAUUAUUUUAGGUUAUGUGUACCAAUUUAUAAAGAGCCGCAUUACUGAUAAUAAAAAUCGAAUUAUAACGGACCCGAUAGAAUUUUGUCAAAGCAUGAAAUAAAUUAAUUUAAACAAUACACUUAUCAUAAUACUGUUAUGUACUUUUAUUUAUGAUGGUUAAUUGUGAGUAAAUUCAUACUUUAUUAUAUAAGAUGACUUUAUAUUGUUAUACAUAAUAUUUAUAAUAUAUUUAUCUAAAAUAAUUGAAAAUAAUACUAAUUAAAUAAACUUAUGUUACCUACGUGGUAACACUAAUAACAUCGGUUUAAUUGAUAAAGCAAAA